rnacentral:rRNA from 1 species
UACGAAGGGGGCUAGCGUUGCUCGGAAUCACUGGGCGUAAAGGGCUCGUAGGUGGCCAACUAAGUCACACGUGAAAUCCCUCGGCUUAACCGGGGAACUGCGUGUGAUACUGGAUGGCUUGAGUUUGGGAGAGGGAUGCGGAAUUCCAGGUGUAGCGGUGAAAUGCGUAGAUAUCUGGAGGAACACCGGUGGCGAAGGCGGCAUCCUGGACCAAUACUGACGCUGAGGAGCGAAAGCCAGGGGAGCAAACGGG